UGGGAAUUUGGACAAUGGGCGAAAGCCUGAUCCAGCAAUGCCGCGUGUGUGAAGAAGGCCUUCGGGUUGUAAAGCACUUUUGUCCGGAAAGAAAUCCUUGGCUCUAAUACAGUCGGGGGAUGACGGUACCGGAAGAAUAAGCACCGGCUAACUACGUGCCAGCAGCCGCGGUAAUACGUAGGGUGCAAGCGUUAAUCGGAAUUACUGGGCGUAAAGCGUGCGCAGGCGGUUUGCUAAGACCGAUGUGAAAUCCCCGGGCUCAACCUGGGAACUGCAUUGGUGACUGGCAGGCUAGAGUAUGGCAGAGGGGGGUAGAAUUCCACGUGUAGCAGUGAAAUGCGUAGAGAUGUGGAGGAAUACCGAUGGCGAAGGCAGCCCCCUGGGCCAAUACUGACGCUCAUGCACGAAAGCGUGGGGAGCAAACAGGAUUAGAUACCCUGGUAGUCCACGCCCUAAACGAUGUCAACUAGUUGUUGGGGAUUCAUUUCCUUAGUAACGUAGCUAACGCGUGAAGUUGACCGCCUGGGGAGUAC
rnacentral:rRNA from 1 species